GACGAACGCUGGCGGCGUGCUUAACACAUGCAAGUCGAACGGAAAGGCCCUGCUUGCAGGGUACUCGAGUGGCGAACGGGUGAGUAACACGUGGGUGAUCUGCCCUGCACUUCGGGAUAAGCCUGGGAAACUGGGUCUAAUACCGGAUAGGAGCCAUUUUUAGUGUGAUGGUUGGAAAGUUUUUUCGGUGUAGGAUGAGCUCGCGGCCUAUCAGCUUGUUGGUGGGGUAAUGGCCUACCAAGGCGGCGACGGGUAGCCGGCCUGAGAGGGUGGACGGCCACAUUGGGACUGAGAUACGGCCCAGACUCCUACGGGAGGCAGCAGUGGGGAAUAUUGCACAAUGGGCGCAAGCCUGAUGCAGCGACGCCGCGUGGGGGAUGACGGCCUUCGGGUUGUAAACUCCUUUCGCUAGGGACGAAGCUUUUUGUGACGGUACCUGGAUAAGAAGCACCGGCUAACUACGUG
rnacentral:rRNA from 1 species